UCUUCUUCCUUCCAUCCACCGCAGGAUCCACCACGUUGCUUCCAUCUUCUUCCUUCCCCCCACCGCAGGAUCCACCGCGUUGCUCCUACAAAUCCUUCCAUCUUCUUCCUUCCCCCACCGCAGGAUCCACCGCGUUGCUCCUACAAAUCCUUCCAUCUUCUUCCUUCCCCCCACCGAGCAAAGACAACUGGUUUGGAUCGAUCGAGAAGCAGAGCAAAGUGAAGACAACGGAAGGUUCUUUGAGGCUUUGAGUCAUGGAGGGUAGACCAAACAGUCAAAAUCCAUUGUUCGUGAACGUUGCUUCAGGGGAAGGCAUAGGAGAAGAAACUCUGGGUACUGACAUAUCAAAUGGGGGACCUAGCUACUCUGUUGGAGGUGGUAGUUCAAACCCAGAUGAAAGUUUAGAUGGGUCAUUUGAUGAGAUUUGGAAUGAUACAGAGGAUCAAAGUUUUGGUUAUGGU